rnacentral:piRNA from 1 species
UCCUGUGUAAAUGAGGACUUGGCCUAUGU